rnacentral:rRNA from 1 species
UGGGGAAUAUUGGACAAUGGGGGCAACCCUGAUCCAGCAAUGCCGCGUGGGUGAUGAAGGCCUUCGGGUUGUAAAGCCCUUUUGGCGGGGACGAUGAUGACGGUACCCGCAGAAGAAGCCCCGGCUAACUUCGUGCCAGCAGCCGCGGUAAUACGAAGGGGGCUAGCGUUGUUCGGAAUGACUGGGCGUAAAGGGCGCGUAGGCGGUCUGAAUCGUCGGGUGUGAAAGGCCUGGGCUUAACCUGGGAACUGCAUUCGAUACGGUCGGACUGGAGUGUGGGAGAGGUUGGUGGAAUUCCCAGUGUAGAGGUGAAAUUCGUAGAUAUUGGGAAGAACACCGGUGGCGAAGGCGGCCAACUGGACCACAACUGACGCUGAGGCGCGAAAGCGUGGGGAGCAAACAGG